rnacentral:rRNA from 1 species
UAUUAAUGAAGCUUGCGAUUUAAUAUCUUAGUGGCGGACGGGUGAGUAACGCGUGGGUAAUCUACCUAAUGGUGGGGAAUAACAGUUGGAAACGACUGCUAAUACCGCAUAAGCUGCGUAAGCAGGAAAGACGGCCUCUGAAUAUGCUGUCGCCAAUAGAUGAGCCCGCGUCUGAUUAGCUAGUUGGUGGGGUAAAGGCCUACCAAGGCGACGAUCAGUAGCCGGCCUGAGAGGGUGAACGGCCACACUGGGACUGAGACACGGCCCAGACUCCUACGGGAGGCAGCAGUGGGGAAUAUUGCGCAAUGGGGGAAACCCUGACGCAGCGACGCCGCGUGAGCGAUGAAGGCCUUAGGGUUGUAAAGCUCUGUUUUAGGGGACGAAUGUCUAGAUCAGUAAUAUGGGUUUAGAAUGACGGUACCCUAAGAGGAAGCCCCGGCUAACUACGUGCCAGCAGCCGCGGUAAGACGUAGGGGGCGAGCGUUGUCCGGAAUUACUGGGCGUAAAGAGCACGUAGGCGGGAAUUUAAGUCAGAUGUGAAAGACCGGGGCUCAACUCCGGGGUUGCAUUUGAAACUGGAUUUCUUG